AAAUAUAUUAUAACAACCAGACCUGCUAGCAAUAAUAACUUGUUGGGACCAAACCACUGGCCCAAAAUGUUUAAAUCCAAUUAUUAUUACUAGCGUGUAGACCUCAUGCAUAUAAUCUAGUCAGAAUCAUUUUUCCACCCGAUGUGGGACUAUUGGGGCAUUACGUAUAUUCCUACAAAACUUAAGUUACUAGAUUUAUUCCUCCAAAAGUCUUUCCGUCUGCAAAUAUAUCCUUCUAUUAUCAAAAUUUAAUCAUGAGUUAACAAAGCU
rnacentral:lncRNA from 1 species